UGGUAAUGCCGGAUGCUCCGGUUGGAUGCAUGUCCUUCCGGGAAAGAUUCUAUCGGUAUGGGAUGGGGUCGCGUCCUAUCAGCUUGAUGGCGGGGUAACGGCCCACCAUGGCUUCGACGGGUAGCCGGCCUGAGAGGGCGACCGGCCACAUUGGGACUGAGAUACGGCCCAGACUCCUACGGGAGGCAGCAGUGGGGAAUAUUGCACAAUGGGCGCAAGCCUGAUGCAGCGACGCCGCGUGCGGGAUGGAGGCCUUCGGGUUGUAAACCGCUUUUGAUCGGGAGCAAGCCCUUCGGGGUGAGUGUACCUUUCGAAUAAGCACCGGCUAACUACGUGCCAGCAGCCGCGGUAAUACGUAGGGUGCAAGCGUUAUCCGGAAUUAUUGGGCGUAAAGGGCUCGUAGGCGGUUCGUCGCGUCCGGUGUGAAAGCCCAUCGCUUAACGGUGGGUCUGCGCCGGGUACGGGCGGGCUGGAGUGCGGUAGGGGAGACUGGAAUUCCCGGUGUAACGGUGGAAUGUGUAGAUAUCGGAAAGAACACCA
rnacentral:rRNA from 1 species